rnacentral:lncRNA from 1 species
CGCAGCCUUCCCAUUCUCGCGGGAACUUGGGAGUGGGAGCUAGAACAAACAAAUCUCAGUUGGCGCGCGAGCAGGAUUGGCAGCAGAGGCUCCAGAGGGGCGGGGCGCGGAGCCUGAAAGGGGCGAGGCCAGACCUCGGAGAAGGGCGGGGAGGGGGCGGGGGCGGGGCCCUGCGGCCGAGGACCUGUUGAGCGCAGGUACAGCCCGCUAGUCCCGGCGCCCUCGGGACUGGCGACUGCGCAUGCUCGCAAGCGGCGCCGGGACUAGUAGCCGAUCGGCUGUGACGAGCCGCGCUGCGCGGCGGCCGUGGUUGCGAUGUGAGUGGGGCCGGGGCGGGAUGGUGCUGACCUGGACAGGGUCGUCUUCUUACAGCUGGACCCGCGAGCUCUUCAGUCCACCGGACUGGGGGCGAGGCGGCGCCGCUAGAGAGGGUUGA